rnacentral:sRNA from 2 species
CACUAGCCCUGAUAGCAGUGGAAAUCCUUUUACUUUUUUCUUUAAAAAGUAAAAGAUUGAAACGAAUAGCGGGAUUAGCU